ACCUCUCAUCAAACCCCAAAAUGUAUUCGUGAUUCUUUUGUCUGGGUUGUGUUUGAUAUUUUGACUCAAUGAAAUGCCCUUUGCACUUAUGGUUACCUGCAAUUUGUUGGUUGUUUCUUUUGCUGGGUUGUUACUGUUUGAGUGGUAGAGAUCAAGAGAGAGAUAGGAUAUCAUCUUUGCCGAGGCAGCCACACAAUGUUGGUUUGUGAAUGAACAAGCUGGGAGGGCACUGUUUUUUACUGGUUGAUUGAGUCUCUGGGUGUUCUUCUAUAGCUUAUGGAGCUGCUGAGGAGAUUGGGUUGUUUCACAUUAAUGCCAAUGGAAAGACUCUUUACCUCAAUCCUCAUUCAUGGAACAAGUUGGCAAACCUGCUUUUUCUUGAAUCACCAACUGGUGUUGGUUUCUCAUACUCAAAUACAAUAUCAGAUUUGUAUACUGCAAGCGAUCAAAGAACGGGUUUGCUAUGUCCUGGAGAUCAAUUUUUGGUGCUCUCCUCU